CGUUUUGGUUGACAUAAAACAGAAGAAAUGUAGAUUCAGCUCGAAAUCUCCUCACGUAAUGGCUUUCGUCUGAUCUUUAAUUCCUAACUCUUAUUGGAUUAGAAUCUUAAUUCUUUCAUAAGAUUAAUCUCAUAUGACUCCGAUGAUUGAUUCCCUCUCGAAAUUAAAAAUUUUUGACAGGUGAUCUAAUAAUCUUUCUUCAUAACCUCGCCUUGCACAAGACGCUGAAAUCCAUUUUUUUUUAAUAUCUUUUAAUAUUCACCUUUUUUUUUUAUCCAUCCUCCAGGUUGACGCAGCACACUCUGGCAACGUGUCGACUGUUCUGGGCAAGACAGCUUCCCUCAGGUGUCGUGUCCUCGACCGUGGGAACUAUACAGUGUCAUGGAUCAGGCAUAGGGACCUACACCUCUUAACUGUCGACCAGUAUACUUACACGUCAGACCAGCGAUUCCAGGCGAUGUACGAGCCUUCGACGGGCGACUGGAUCCUGCUGGUGGCGUCGGUGCAGCUGCGGGACCGGGGCGUGUACGAGUGCCAGAUCGGAACCACGCCACCGCGCAGCCACUUCGUCACUCUCCAUAUUAUCGAGCCCCGCACGGAGAUCCUCGGUGGCGGCGACCUGCACAUCAACACGGGCUCCACCAUCAACCUGACUUGCCUGGUCCUCUAUCACGCUCGCUCUCCGCACGCUCUCACCUGGCUGCACGAG